GAGACACGUGAUCUCGCGAGAGCUCGGCACCCGGAAGUCUCGCGGAACACGGCGGUCCCCACGGCAAGGCAAGUAGACAGGAGGGUGUAUGAAGCACAGACACCGGUCACAGCUUGUACCGGCCGGGACAGCGGAGAGCAGCGCGGCUGCAGCACCAGGGACCCUACCAAAGCGGCCGUGCCGUGGAGCAGAAAUAUCUACAGAUGGAAUGCACUCCUCACAUAUAUACAUAUGGAAUAAAAAGGACACUGUGAUUAGCGCGGCUCGUACCCGGAAGCGGAAGUGCAUCAUUGGAACGCAAGCAAAGCACAACUACAGCUAUCUACAUUGUUUAUAAAAUAAUAUGGGCUCUAUCCAAUGAAAUACUACUGGUAUGUACAGUGUGUGUAAUAUGCAUUAACAUGUGUAAAGUAGUUGUAGAAAUAUAAACAAUCACACUUGUCACCAUUGCAAUAUUGCUGGUCUGUAUAAUGUGUCUAAUAUGUGCCAAGACUUGUAAAUACAUUUAUGGAAAUAUAAAAAAUAUGUGUAAUAAAUUAUAUAAGAAUCUGAAA